GAUGAACGCUAGCUACAGGCUUAACACAUGCAAGUCGAGGGGUAGCAGGGUAGCAAUACCGCUGACGACCGGCGCACGGGUGAGUAACACGUAUCCAACCUUCCCAUAACUCGGGGAUAGCCUUUCGAAAGAAAGAUUAAUACCCGAUAGUACUUAUAUAGGGCAUCCUACAUAAGUUAAAGAUAUAUUGGUUAUGGAUCGGGAUGAGUUCCAUUAGAUAGUUGGUGAGGUAACGGCUCACCAAGUCUUCGAUGGAUAGGGGUUCUGAGAGGAAGGUCCCCCACAUUGGUACUGAGACACGGACCAAACUCCUACGGGAGGCAGCAGCGAGGAAUAUUGGUCAAUGGGCGAGAGCCUGAACCAGCCAAGUAGCGUGAAGGAUGAAGGUCCUAUGGAUUGUAAACUUCUUUUAUAGUAGAAUAAAGUGAUCCACGCGUGGAUUUUUGUAUGUAUACUAUGAAUAAGGAUCGGCUAACUUCGUGCCAGCCGCCGCCGUAA
rnacentral:rRNA from 1 species